GUGUGUGUCUGAAUGGCUGGCGGACCAUAGGGCACUCUGAAUGCCAUGGCACUGGAUCUGGCCACCAGCUCAGGGCAAAAGCAGACACCUCACACAAGAUUCGAGCGGCUCGAAGCCAGCCCCCGAUUUGGAUUGGAUGUAGUUGCGUGUGCUGGCUACAGCCCCCAUGAUUUAGGCGCUCACGUUCCCGCCAUCACCCCUCUCCUUUGACCUGAAGAGAGUGAGUGUGCGUGUGUGUGUCGCCAGCUGGAAUGGCGUCGAUCUCAUUCAGUCGUCUGAGGGACCCUAUAUCCUCAAUAGUGACGGAGGAAAUAUACAGAGGGCCC